rnacentral:lncRNA from 1 species
GUCCAUGAGAAUAAUAAACAUUACAGAUUGUGCUUGCACUAAAGCAGAUUUAGUAAAGCCUCAGGAACAGAAUAUACUUCAUGGGGUAAGAAAUCCAGCUAGGGAAAAGACUGACCUAUCUAUGCAUCUGUAAUGGGUUGAAUAGUGUCUCCAAAAUAUAUGUUCACCGAGAACCUCAAAAUGUGUCCUUCCUUUGCAUAUAGGGUCUUUGCAGUUGAAGUUAGUUAGGACAAGGUCAUACUGGAUUAGGGUGAAGCCUAAAUCCAAUAUGACUGAUGUUCUUAUAAUAAGAGAACACACAGAAACACACACCAGGAAGGCCAUGGAAGUAAAAUAUAUAGUUUGUCAAAUGAGGAUGAGUUCAAGAAGGGGUCCUACGUAGUGAGGUGGAGUAUUAGUUUUUAAGCCUGAUUAAAUUAAACACUUGGUGGAUCUUUCCCCCAAACAUUGUACUUAGUAUUAUAGUGCUUUCAUUCUUGUAAAAAAUGGUACAACAUGUAGGAGUACAUAUGGAGGGAGAAGAGCCUCCUUCUGUUGUAUUAGUUUCUGCUGUAAAACCAGGAAAAUCAUCGGCCAUAAAGCUCAUAGGGAGGGAAAAGAACAAUACAUAAGCAAAAUCAUCAAGGCUGAAGGGGAGAACUCAGAGGAUUAUGUGACUAAUACUCACUUGUCAGUGAUUUAUACAUCAAUCUGGCCAUUUACUAUUCAACAAAUGCCUAGGCCACGUAAGAGACCUCAACAAACGGAAGUGAUUCUGCUAUAGGAAACCACUUCUUAAAAGAAAAAGAAGCAAAUAGAGGUGCUUUACAGGAAAACUUUUUCUUUUCUUUUCUUUCUUUCUUUCUUUUCUUUUCUUUUUUUUUUUUUUUUUGAGAUGGAGUCUCGCUCUAUCACCCAGGCCGGAGUGCACUGGGAUGAUCUCGGCUCACUGCAGCCUCUGCCUCCCGGAUUUAAGCAAUUCUCUUGCCUCAGCCUCCCAAGUAGCUGGGACUACAGGCAGGUG